ACAAUUCUAACAGGCCCCUGCUUUAAAGCUAGCCGAGCUUUACAAACCGAGAUCACAAACAGCGGUUUCUCUAGAAAACCAUACAGAAGCCAAGGAGUUCUGCUGGUAAAAAUAGUAGCAUGUGGCAUUUGGAUCCUGCCAAGCUCACAUCCCAUGAAAGACGACAGCCAAAAAGCUCUUAAAUAGAUGAACAAUGAGGAAGGACAAAGCCAAGAAAAUAGUACAUGCUGCCCUUCUCCCAGUUGUAGAUAACUUACAGCAAGAAAGCGAAGAAACCGGUUUUCCCGACAGCUAGGAACUGUUUCUCACCUUGGACCUGGAGCCAGUACCCCCUGAACCCACCCAAGGCUUCCUCCUGGACCCGCCAGGGGGAGAAGGGACCUGUGCUGCAUGUGUUUUAAGGAUCACAGGAUCUUCUCCUUCCCAGAGGCUAGUGAAGAUUAGAAGGCAAAAAAAACACACUCUUGAUGAAAUGUUCUCUGAGCUAAUGCUGUCCUCCCACACUGACAGAGCACAGACGAAUGCAUGGAGGAAGACAAUGCUAGAAUGCAGGAAAGCACAAAAUGACUGGGAGGAGAGGUGACGGGCUGAGGAGAGUAAGUAGCGGGCUGAAGAGAGGACUGAAGCUGAAAGGUGGCGGCAGCAUGAUGAGAGGAGACAGGAUUCAAUGCUGAGGCUGCUGGAGGAUCAAACUAAUAUGCUCCAGCAUAUGGCUGAGCUGCAGGAAAGGCAGCUGAAGCACAGACUGCCGCUACAGCCCCUGUGUAACCAACCGCCCUCCUCCCCAAGUUCCAUAGCCUCCUCACCCAGAUGCCCAAGAACACGGUGGGGAUGAGGGCCCUCCAGCCACUCCACCCCAGAGAAUUGCCCAAGCAACAGAAGGCUGGCAUUCAAUAAGUUUUAAAGUUUUAAACUUUUAAAGUGCUGUGUGGCCUUGUCCUUCCCUCCUCCACCACCCCUCCCACUGCUUCUCUCCUCCACCACCCCUCACGGG